CACAGGAACUGGGGGCCCUGCUGGGUUGCGAGGUCAGGGAUUUCGGGCCCGGUGGGAGCGGGCGCGCCCCCCUAAGUUAUCCCGCCCCUGGCCCUGUCGGUUGGGUACUCGCUGCGGGUGUUCGGCCCGGGCCAUCCUGGGCCGGGUGUUCGGCCCGGGCCAUUCCGUCCUGGGCUUGGCUGGGACGCGGGAAGGUGGCUCUAACUGAGCUUCUGAAGAUUCCUUUGGAAAUACACGUGCGGCCUUGGCGAGUGCCGCUUGAGGUGGGGAAAUGGGGUCGUGGGGAUGGCCUCCUAGGCGAAAACCAAGGUGGGGGCGGGACAUGAGGACUGGCUUGAGCUGACCACGUGGCCCUUGCAGGUGGACUCCUCUGCGGCAGAUCUCCUGUAAGAUGUGCUGGUAAGUGACGCUGCCCGGGGCCCAGCUCCUCGCUCCCAGAACCGGGCGCGCUGGUCACUGUUACUUCAUGGGGGAAAUUCUUACUGAAUCAACUAGUGACUUGGCCUACGGCUCCCAGGGGUUUUCUGAACUGUAAAAUACAUACCGAGAAUAAUAUUCAAGAAAAGGGGAUUUUGUGUAUAGAUGUGAUCAGCGUCUUUGUAAAAGGAAGGAAGUUAGUCCACUGCUACCGCCACAAUUCCGCCUCUGUCUGCCGGUGCCAAAUUGAAACGCAGACACAGAGUUUGGGGUAAAGGAGGGGAAAAAAAAUAGUUUAAUUGCUUUGCCAGGCAAAGGAGGAUCACAGCAGGUUAAUGCCUUAAAGACUGUCCCUUCCCCCCCACCCCAGUUAGAAAGAAUUGGAAGGAGUUUUAUAGCAAAAAGGAGAAAAACAGGUUUUCAGAUAGGAAUCAGUAUUGGGACAAACAUGCAUUCAUCUUUCUUUGGGUCAGUCUUGGUCAUCAAAGCUGGAGUCGGGAGAUUUUCACAGUGGUGGUUUUCUGGGUUAUUGCCUAGAAUAACAGUACUUGCGAAAGGGCCGUAUUGAUCAGAGAUCAGAACAAGCUUGGAAAGUUCCUGAAAAAACAUCCCAUGCUAAUAAUCUUUAACCCACAGGCCAUUGUGCUCAGGAUGCCUAAUCUUUAGCUUACAGGUGAUUGUGUUUAGGGUGUAACUAAGUCAGGAAGAAGAAUAAGCUGUUAAAUUUCAAAGUAUUCAUUUCAAAAAGAAGCGUAAGGAAUAUGAUUUUUCUCUGAGAGGUAUGAUAAGACUGCCUCUCCCAAGGCUGCUUGUCUUCCUCCCUCAAACAGAAAGGAUUGCUGUGUCCUUCUUACUAUCAAGAGUUGUCGGAGUUCCCGUCGUGGCGCAGUGGUUAACGAAUCCGACUAGGAACCAUGAGGUUGCGGGUUCGGUCCCUGCCCUUGCUCAGGGGGUUAACGAUCCGGCGUUGCUGGGAGCUGUGGUGUAGGUUGCAGACGCGGCUCGGAUCCCGCGUUGCUGUGGCUCUGGCGUAGGCCGGUGGCUACAGCUCCCAUUGGACCCCUAGCCUGGGAACCUCCAUAUGCCGCAGGAGCGGCCCAAGAAAUAGCAACAACAACAACAACAAAAAGACAAAAGACAAAAAAAAAAAGAGUUGUCUCUGUCCAGGGGCUUCAGGAGGAAACCCAAGUAGGCCUAAUCCAACCCCAUGAUCUCUCCUCUCAGCUUCUGGUCCCGGCUGGUGCUCAGUACAGCUGAAUGCCCAGGGCUUUAGGGGCUUGAAGGAACGUGGGCUGCAAGCCUCCAGCGUGCUUGGGUCUGCGGUGACCCUGUGCAUUCCUACAGUGCUUGCAAGAAAAUUUUGAGAUGGUUUGAGGCCUUGCCCUGCUUCAUCCAGAGCAAGGUUAUAGAAAUUUCAGACACUGUUUUGCUCCCUUCCCUAUCUGGUGUGCUGGGCACUGUGCAGGUCUGUACCAUCUGAGGCGGUGACCACUUGACACAUUCGGUUAAAUUUAAGAUUCCGUCUUUCGUUCACACUAGCCACGGUUUAGAUGGAUGCUCAUUAGCCACACUUGGCAAGUGGCUGCUCUGUUGCACCGUGCACAUUAGAGAGCGUUAAUGUCUUUGAAGAAAUUGUUUUGGACUUUGGGUGUUUACCGUGCUCCAGGCUUGUAAAUUUUAUUAUAUCCUUCAAACGAAAGCCUUAGAAAAGUUGAAAAUGGGAGUUCCCUUGAUGGCUUAGUGGUUAAUGAACCCGACUAGUAUCCAAGAGGAUGCAGCUUCAAUCCCUGGCCUUGCUCAGAGGAUUAAGGAUCCUGCGUUGCCGUCAGCUGUGUAAGUUGCAGGCAAAGCUUGGAUCUGGCGGGGCUGUGGUGUAGGCCGGCAGCUGCAGCUCCGUUUGGACCCCUAGCCUGGGAACCUCCGUAUGCCUCGGGCAUGGCCCUAGAAAGAUGUAAAGGAAAAGAAAAUGAAGCUUGAGGGAGUGGUAAAGAUGGAGUUAGACCAGCUAGUAGGAAAUAGAGUGGAAAGGAAUAAUAGGGAUGGGCCAUGCCCUGGGGGAUAUUUACCAUUGGCAGGGAAACCAAAGAGAAGGAAGGGCCAGCCAGGUUCUAUAGCAGGGCCGAGUGUCCCCGGAGCUUACUGGGGGGCGGGGGUCGUUGCACAUUGAUCUUAAAGGAAGAUCUAAUAUAGCAGGGCCGAGUGUCCCCGGAGCUUACGGGGGGGGGGGGGGGUCGCAUUGAUCUUAAAGGAAGAUCUAGUGGGAGAGAAGGGCACUUGUGUUGAUUGAACUCUUGUCUUGCAGACUUAAUUCUUAACCCGCCAGAAGUCUUCGAGGACCACCGUUAGGCCAUCUUAGGUCCAGUACAGGUGGGGGGCCACGGUCAGGAUUAAGUGUCCAGGGUUGCCUGGCCAGACACUGGAAGGUCAGGAUUGGAUGCCAGGCCUCUCCAACCCUACUGGCUCCACUCCUUUCCCGGAUGCCAGAUUGGAAGGGAGGGGUGGAAUCUAGAGGCAAUGGCUGGUUUGAGUCGGAGGGCAAUGCCAGGAUGGAGUAGGCAGCACAGCUCCUGAGCUCCUGGACGGUGGGGUCACACCACCACCCCUUCUCUCUUGAAGGUUAAGGCUUCUGGCAGAUUCGGGUCAGUCCCAAGUGCGACCGGUCUUCUGGGGCUGCCGUCCGCAGACCCUUCUCGCAUCCACGUACCUGGCGGCCUCCCUCAUCGCGUGCUGUUGGUAGGGGGGCGAGUCAGGCCCUGUACACGUCCUGACAGGCACCCGGCCCACCCCCAGCCAACUGUGCGCUGUGUUCCUGCCCCAGCACGAGACCUGUGGGGUGUCCGCGGCAGAAGAUGUCAGAGCUGGAAGAGACCUGAGAGGCGAUCCCUUGGUGGGUGAUGGGUUCUUCCGGGAAUCUGGUGGUAAGUGUCGGGGAGGGUCUGGCCUGGUGGGGUGGGUCCCUUCACUUCCUUUUGAGUGUUGAUUUUCUGUAAGUCCCUCUGUCCAGGAGUUCAAAACCACCCGCUUACCCUACCUUCCCAUGUUGCCUAUCAGGUGAUGGAGUCCCAGAAAGCGUAACUGUCUGCCAGCUCACGAGGCCGUUUUGUGCAGAUAGUUUGAUUACCUCUGUGGUUGGGAUUCAACUUGUCGCCUUUUCCCCGGGAAUCUCCAGAUGAGCGGUGUGUCAGCCUGGAAAAGGUGGGCUCCUGCCGCAUCCCUGUGGCAGAGGCCUCUUAGCUCUCUGCAGUCAGGAGUGGGAGCCCAGGUUCACGCCCAUUUAUUGCCGCUUGCUCUCAAUUGGCAUUUGUUACAAUCUCUUGUUUAUGCUCUUACAUCACUUAAUUGUAACAGCAGGCCUCGGAGUUGUUUCCAGUUUCCUGGUUUUUAGAGACAAGGAAGUGGGAGCCGAGGGUGUGACCUGCUGCACUGACACCCCAGGCCUUUGGGCCUCUUCUCUAGGCAGGAUCAAAUCCUUGCUCUCUUUCCAGGAGGCUGGGAGUUCUGGUUCUCGGCCCAGGCUGGGGGGGAAGGCCUCCAGGCCACGUGUGCAUGUCUGACCAACAUUCUCUGACGCCAGGUUUGCGCGCCUUGUUGUCUGCUUCCAGAACAAGGAUCUUCGCUGUACGCCAAGACCCAGACCCCUCUGACAUCGGAAUGACAAGUGGGAUAUUUAAUAAAACAGUUUCAAAUUUGGAGUCA
ensembl:lncRNA